rnacentral:tRNA from 1 species
GAUGUCGCGCCGGAAAGAACGGAUAACUUUGAUGACGUUAAAUAUGAGGAUAUCCUCCGCCAUCU